rnacentral:rRNA from 1 species
ACUCCUACGGGAGGCAGCAGUGGGGAAUAUUGCACAAUGGGCGCAAGCCUGAUGCAGCGACGCCGCGUGAGGGACGACGGCCUUCGGGUUGUAAACCUCUUUCAGCACAGACGAAGCGCAAGUGACGGUAUGUGCAGAAGAAGGACCGGCCAACUACGUGCCAGCAGCCGCGGUAAU